CUUUCUUUGUGGGUUCGGACUUGACGGGAGGGAACUCUGGACACAGUAAAACACAACAGGCCAAGAUGACCUGAAGAUCUAUUGACACAAAAAGUAAGCAGCCAGCAAUGCAGGAAUAAUUGUAUUGUGAAAUUUUCAAAUUUCAUAGUCGCUCUUGCAGUGCUGGAAACCUGACAGCUGGUAUGCACAAAGAAAUUCUCACAGACAGAAAUAUGAAAAGCAAAGGGUUGCAGAUACUGGAAAUCAGAAAGAAAAUGUAAAAUGCUGGACGUACUGGAACUCUGCACAGCAAACUUGAGACAUGACAAUGACAGGAUGGUAUGUCUUUUAACUCGACUGAGAUAUAAAUAUAUUGGUCAGGUCACAAAAGAUAAAUGAAAAGCAAUAAAAUCUGUAGAUGUUGGAAAUCAGAAAUAAAAGAUGAGCAGGUAAGACAGGAUCUGUGGAGUGAGAAACCGUGGAAGCUGAACUAUGGCCAAUGCACUGUUUCCGAGAAUGGAGCAAGCAGGAAAGAUCAAAGGGAAUGUCUGAAAUUAUUCAUUCACACUUGGGUUCCCAAUCACAAUAACAUGUCUGUUCAGGUCAGAUGCUGUAUCUCAAGCAUACUUUAAUUUUCAUAUAGCCAGCCAUUGCAGUUUGGUAUUUCCAGUAUUCCCUUUUAUUUUAGCUUUCCUGAAUCCACUACCUCACAUUUCCACCACUGCUUUUAAUUUUCCUCUCUCUCAUGGCCUCAUUCAUCUCCUGACAGGUCAUUUAUAAUUGCAAGCACUUC